UCGAGGAUCUUCGGCAAUGAGCGCAAGCUUGACCGAGCGACGCCGCGUGCGCGAUGAAGGCCUUCGGGUUGUAAAGCGCUGUCGAGGGGGAGGAAAGCCCGCAAGGGUCUGACCUAUCCCUGGAGGAAGCACGGGCUAAGUUCGUGCCAGCAGCCGCGGUAAGACGAACCGUGCGAACGUUGUUCGGAAUCACUGGGCUUAAAGGGCGCGUAGGCGGGAGACCCAGUCCGGGGUGAAAGCUUCCGGCUCAACCGGAAAAGGGCCUUGGAUACUGGUCUUCUCGAGGGAGGUAGGGGUCUGCGGAACUGCGGGUGGAGCGGUGAAAUGCGUUGAUAUCCGCAGGAACGCCGGUGGCGAAAGCGGCGGACUGGACCUCUGCUGACGCUGAGGCGCGAAAGCCAGGGGAGCGAACGG
rnacentral:rRNA from 1 species